rnacentral:rRNA from 1 species
UACAGAGGGUGCAAACGUUGCUCGGAAUCAUUGGGCGUAAAGCGCUCGCAGGUGGUUCGAUGCGUCGUGCGUGAAAGACCCCGGCUCAACUGGGGAGGGUCGUGCGAUACGGUCGAACUGGAGGCCAGUAGGGGGAUGCGGAAUUCCGGGUGUAGUGGUGGAAUGCGUAGAGAUCCGGAGGAACACCAGCGGCGAAGGCGGCAUCCUGGACUGGUCCUGACACUCAUGAGCGAAAGCGUGGGGAGCGAUCCGG